GACGAACGCUGGCGGCGUGCUUAACACAUGCAAGUCGAACGGAAAGGCCCUGCUUUUGUGGGGUGCUCGAGUGGCGAACGGGUGAGUAACACGUGAGUAACCUGCCCUUGACUUUGGGAUAACUUCAGGAAACUGGGGCUAAUACCGGAUAGGAGCUCCUGCUGCAUGGUGGGGGUUGGAAAGUUUCGGCGGUUGGGGAUGGACUCGCGGCUUAUCAGCUUGUUGGUGGGGUAGUGGCUUACCAAGGCUUUGACGGGUAGCCGGCCUGAGAGGGUGACCGGCAAAAUGGGGACUGAGAUACGGCCCAGCCUCCUAGGGGGGGCAGCGGGGGGGAAUAUGGCACAAGGGGCGGAGGCCGGAUGCAGCACCGCCGGGUGGGGGAUGCGGGCCUUGGGUUUGAAACCCGUUUUCGCCUGUGACGAAGGGGGGGGGAGGUUAUGGGGAAAAGAAGGACGGGCAAAUUACGUC
rnacentral:rRNA from 1 species